rnacentral:lncRNA from 1 species
GAAAAAAAUUACAAAGAAAAAUAACUUGAAAAUUAAAUUACAUAACUUUAAAGAAGAGAAAAAGAAAAGAAAUUCUUACCUCUAAAUGUAGAUUCACUUUUUUUUAAAUAAAAAUUACAAGAAAAUAACAAAAAAUAAAAUUAUUUCCAAAAAUUAAUUCUACGAAUUAAAAUAACUUACCUCCUCGACAACGGCGCCAAAAACUUGUUGCGCAAAUUUUAUUGAACUCGCAAGC